GACGAACGCUGGCGGCGUGCUUAACACAUGCAAGUCGAACGGAAAGGCCCUGCUUUUGUGGGGUGCUCGAGUGGCGAACGGGUGAGUAACACGUGAGUAACCUGCCCUUGACUUUGGGAUAACUUCAGGAAACUGGGGCUAAUACCGGAUAGGAGCUCCUGCUGCAUGGUGGGGGUUGGAAAGUUUCGGCGGUUGGGAUGGACUCGCGGCUUAUCAGCUUGUUGGUGGGGUAGUGGCUUACCAAGGCUUUGACGGGUAGCCGGCCUGAGAGGGUGACCGGCCACAUUGGGACUGAGAUACGGCCCAGACUCCUACGGGAGGCAGCAGUGGGGAAUAUUGCACAAUGGGCGGAAGCCUGAUGCAGCAACGCCGCGUGCGGGAUGACGGCCUUCGGGUUGUAAACCGCUUUCGCCUGUGACGAAGCGUGAGCGACGGUAAUGGGUAAAGAAGCACCGGCUAACUACGUG
rnacentral:rRNA from 1 species